CAUUAGCUCUUACUUUUCAGACUUCAUCUUGAAACAAAAUCUUCCUCAUAAUUGACCCCAUGACACUCGAUUCACACUUUCUGACUGCGAGACAGUGUUAUGCAACCUAAAUGCUUGUGAUUCAAAAUACCCAUUUAGAGAGAGUUGUUUUUUUGCUUUACGUUGCUCCGAACCCUUCAUCAAAGAACACCAAGAAAACCAAGUCCGCUUGAAAAGAAAUCCAAUUUAAUGACUGUGAAGUAGAGUCGACUGACUGGUGCCUCAGCGUACCCGUACCCGAACCCUACUCAACUGCCAUUGGGCAUCCGUAGGCGAUGACUUGUACUUGGCCCGCGUCUUUGUUUUCAUUGCGGCUGUCACUUUCGGACGAUGACGGCAACGCACUGAAACGUUAAUGGCAAGUGUAAAAUGCUUUAAGCCAAGUCCAGAAGAAGUAACAGACAGCAAAGUACAAAAAAAAAGAGAAAGAAAAGGGGAGAAUCAAGAAAGGGAGCAAUAGCUGGAAAGGAAAACCAAAAGAAAAUGCCGACAAUGACGACAAGGACAACGACGCUUCUGCCAUAGUGUAAAAAAAGAAAUUUUGGUCUUCUUUAGGCAUAUGCAAAUUGUGUAAUAAAUUAAAU